rnacentral:rRNA from 1 species
UGCAGUCGAACGGACCCUUCGGGGUUAGUGGCGGACGGGUGAGUAACACGUGGGAACGUGCCUUUUGGUUCGGAAUAGCUCCUGGAAACGGGUGGUAAUGCCGAAUGUGCCCCUAGGGGGAAAGAUUUAUCGCCAUUAGAGCGGCCCGCGUCUGAUUAGCUAGUUGGUGAGGUAAAGGCUCACCAAGGCUACGAUCAGUAGCUGGUCUGAGAGGAUGACCAGCCACAUUGGGACUGAGACACGGCCCAAACUCCUACGGGAGGCAGCAGUGGGGAAUCUUGCGCAAUGGGCGAAAGCCUGACGCAGCCAUGCCGCGUGAAUGAUGAAGGUCUUAGGAUUGUAAAAUUCUUUCACCGGGGACGAUAAUGACGGUACCCGGAGAAGAAGCCCCGGCUAACUUCGUGCCAGCAGCCGCGGUAAUACGAAGGGGGCUAGCGUUGCUCGGAAUUACUGGGCGUAAAGGGAGCGUAGGCGGACAUUUAAGUCAGGGGUGAAAUCCCAGAGCUCAACUCUGGAACUGCCUUUGAUACUGGGUGUCUUGAGUGUGAUAGAGGUAUGUGGAACUCCGAGUGUAGAGGUGAAAUUCGUAGAUAUUCGGAAGAACACCAGUGGCGAAGGCGACAUACUGGAUCAUUACUGACGCUGAGGCUCGAAAGCGUGGGGAGCAAACAGGAUUAGAUACC